rnacentral:rRNA from 1 species
AGUGAACGCUGGCGGUAGGCCUAACACAUGCAAGUCGAACGCCAGAACAGUAAGAGCUUGCUCUUACGGGUGGCGAGUGGCGGACGGGUGAGGAAUACAUCGGAAUCUACUUUUUCGUGGGGGAUAACGUAGGGAAACUUACGCUAAUACCUCAUACGACCUACGGGUGAAAUCAGGUGAUCUUCGUACCUUGCGAUAUUGAAUGAAUCGAUGUCGGAUUAGCUAGUUGGCGGGUUAAAGGCCCACCAAGGCGACGAUCCGUAGCUGGUCUGACAGGAUGGUCAGCCACACUGGAACUGGAACACGGUCCAGACUCCUACGGGAGGCAGCAGUGGGGAAUAUUGGACAAUGGGCGCAAGCCGGAUCCAGCCAUACCGCGUGGGUGAAGAAGGCCUUCGGGUUGUAAAGCCCUUUUGUUGGGAAAGAAAAGCAGCAGGUUAAUACCCCGCUGUUCUGACGGUACCCAAAGAAUAAGCACCGGCUAACUUCGUG